GGGCCCGCACAAGCAGUGGAGCGUGUGGUUUAAUUGGAAGCUAAGCCAAGAACCUUACCAGGGUUUGACAUGCUGGUGGUACGGACUCGAAAGAGGAAGGACCUUAUCGAAAGAUGAGGAGCCAGCACAGGUGGUGCACGGUCGUCGUCAGCUCGUGCCGUGAGGUGUUGGGUUAAGUCCCGCAACGAGCGCAACCCCUACUCUUAGUUACCAGCACGAAAGGUGGGGACUCUAAGAGGACCGCCGGCGACGAGCCGGAGGAAGGAGGGGAUGACGUCAGAUACUCGUGCCCCUUAUGCUCUGGGCGACACACGCGCUACAAUGGUAUGGACAACGGGAAGCCAGGUAGCGAUACUGAGCAAAACCCUAAAACCAUACCGCAGUUCAGAUUGUGGGCUGAAACCCGCCCACAUGAAGCUGGAAUUGCUAGUAAUCGCGGAUCAGCCACGCCGCGGUGAAUACGUUCCCGGGCCUU
rnacentral:rRNA from 1 species